UCCUACGGGACGCAGCAGUGAGGGAUAUUGGUCAAUGGGCGGAGGCCUGAACCAGCCAAGUCGCGUGAGGGAAUAAGGCCCUACGGGUCGUAAACCUCUUUUGCCGGGGAGCAAGGGCGGGGACGUGUCCCGGCCCGGAGAGUACCCGGAGAAAUAGCAUCGGCUAACUCCGUGCCAGCAGCCGCGGUAAUACGGAGGAUGCGAGCGUUAUCCGGAAUUACUGGGCGUAAAGGGCGCGUAGGUGGGCGCUUAAGUCAGGUGUGAAAACUCCGGGCUCAACCUGGAGACUGCACUUGAAACUGGGG
rnacentral:rRNA from 1 species